rnacentral:lncRNA from 11 species
GUAUAACUACUAAAAUAAUGUAUAAAUAUUAAAAUAAGUAUAGCGUCCCUACUUCGCAGAUUUUCACUUAUUGCGGGCAGUCCUGGAACCUAACCCUCGCGAUAAGUAAGGGAACACUGUAUAGUACAAUAUAGUAAUAUAUAAUGCUAAUAUUGUGCUAUGCUAAUAAUAUAAUAUAUUGUAUGUACAUACAACUUGUAAACCGCUCUGAGUCCCCUUCAGGGUAUAAAUGUAGUAAAUAAAUAAACAAAUAAUUGUUGGUGGGGUUUUUGCACUACAAAUAAGACAUGUGCAGUGUGCAAAGGAAUUUGUUCAUUUUUUUUUUUUUCAAAUGAUAAUUCGGCCCCUCAACAGUCUGAGGGACCAUGAACCGGCCCUCCACUUAAAAAGUUCAAGGACCCCUGCAUAACGGUUUUCAACCAUGAAACUUUGGAAGGUACUCCAUGGUAAUCUACUGAACUUGGAAGCAUGAAUCCCCUCCUGCCUUACUCUGACACUCAGCUAUCAGUAGCCUUGGAGAGACCUAUCCAACAGCUGGCCCCAUUUAGCUGAGCAGUACACAGCUGGGAGGUAAAAGGAGGUAAAUCCUUUUUCUUCAGUCUUGGGUUUGUAAAUUCCAUGGUGCCGCUCCAGCUUAUAUUUCUCCUGCUUUGCAUUAUCGUUGGUUUGGUGUCGGAUUGUGGUCCUUCCUUGGUUUUAAGAAGGAGGUCUGUUUGAACCCAAGAAAGAUCUUUCUCUGGCGGCACUAACUGUGGAUACCGAUCUAGAUCAUAUAUGUUUAUUCUAGUCCUAUCUAUGGCAAUAUUCUUUCUGUGAGGUGUCCCAUGGAGAACCGAAAUUCCACAGGACCCACAUUAGAGGAAAGCUUGGAAAAUGCAGGAGAACCCUGCCACGUUGUCCAGGAGCACUACUCUGAAGUAGCUGUGAGCUCAUCCAGAGCAAUCCUUGAAGGGUCUGCUACCAAGCAAGAAUGCCCAAAGAUGCAACAAGAUGAUGAGACCACAUUGUUGGAAACAGAUACGGCGGCACUUCCUGUGAUGUCGGCAUGGGACGUUGAAGAAAUCCUUUCUCUCUACUGUGAACAGAAAUCUCCAUCAGCAAGUUUAGGAGGGGUUGAAAAUGGCCAGGAAACUCUCCCAGGAGAAGAAAAAGAAAAAGACAGUUGGAACAACAUCCUUCUGGGAAUCUUGGAACCUGGAAGAUUACCUCGGGAGGCAGACGAGCAUCUUCUCCCGUAUGGUGAGCAGGGAUUUGCGUCCAGGAAUCAAGAGAAAGGAGAGUGCCGGCAGGAAACUCAGGAAGCAGAUGGACAAGUAUUCUCCUGUGGUGGUCUCAGAAAAGCCAUUGAAACUACAGACUUGACAUUUAUUUGUGAGGAUAUGAAACAACCUGAAUGUGCUGUAUGUAAGAGAAGCGUCUGGUUGGACUCCAUCACUCGAAAGAACAGUGACAGUCAACUGGAAGUCGGUUCAGCGGAAAAAAUAGAUGAAUCCCUCCUUCUUUGGCCGAACUGUCAAUCUCCCAGAGGAACCAUAACUCAGACAGACACCAUAAAAUUGCCGGUGAUCAGAAAGCAAGGAGGA